CGGCGGACGGGUGAGUAACGCGUGGGUAACCUGCCUCAUACAGGGGGAUAACAGUUAGAAAUGACUGCUAAUACCGCAUAAGCGCACAAGGUCGCAUGACCUGGUGUGAAAAACCGAGGUGGUAUGAGAUGGACCCGCGUCUGAUUAGCUGGUUGGUGAGGUAACGGCCCACCAAGGCAACGAUCAGUAGCCGACCUGAGAGGGUGACCGGCCACAUUGGGACUGAGACACGGCCCAA
rnacentral:rRNA from 1 species